ACAAAUCAAGAGGUUUGCUUCUUUUCUUAUAUCAAUUUUGUAUUUUGUUUUGCUUCCCCAAUUUUGAUCUGAUUAAUGCUUGAAAACUUUAUCACCGUGGCCAAGCUUAAAACCUUAAUGUGGCUUUACUGCCUGACAAUCUUGCUACAUCGAGCAUCAGAUGUUAUUUGGAUGAAAAAUUUUGAGUUUCCUUUGGCUGUUCACAUUUAGCUGUAAGAUUGAUGAUGCAAAUUUGAAAAAGGCACCUCUUACAAGAAUUGCUUACCAGAAUUCUGCUUCUCCGUUGACCACAUUAUCAUUUUGUAUGAAGUUUCUGUAAAAAAUUUGCAAAAGUUUGAGGAGGCAUAAGGAGAAGGAUUUUGAGUAGAAUAUUCAGGAGAAAGUUGCUGAAACAUAGAGCGUGUGUGAUUGGUCAUUAAAUCUCACUAACCCUGGCAAGUCUAGAAAAAGAACUGCUGAGGAGUAAUCAAGCUUCAGUGGGCUUUCUUUGUGGUCAGGCAAAUUUUUGUUGACAAAGUUGCCUAUUGACAGAUAUAUAUCAUUUUCCCACAACAUCUUUCAAAGUUUAACACAAUUUAGUCAAUGAAGGAUGCAACUGUUUCAUGUAGAUUUAAUUGGUGGUUGUAUAUUUUUUUACUGGAACUUGUGCUCUCUAAACAUGAAAUGAUCAAUGAUCAGAACAAAAUUGGGGAAGCAAAAUCUAGGAUCCAAAGAGAAGCCUGCAGGCUUUUUCUUCGUAAAUCCUACUUGCAAACUAGUGAAUGAAUCCAUCAUAGUAAAGAGGAUUUUGAUUAAGGAAUAAUGAGCUAUCAAGAACAAUCACUUGGAUGUGGACCUUAAAUUAGUAUACUCUCUGAGGAUUUAAGAUAUAUUCGCAAGCCAGCGUCAACCUAUUUCAGCAGCUGCUAUUGUACUACUGGUCCAACACUAAACCUGAUCUUACCAAGUAUCUACAGAGUAGUGCAAUUUACAUAGAUAUUAUCUUCAUUUCAGAUAUCUUCUCCCUUCUUUUUUUUUUUCGAAAAACCUUCAUUGUUAGAUAAAGCCAUUUUCCAUUAAUUUGGUUUUACUUUAUGUUCUUGUGCUGCAAGUUUUUAUAUUUUAUGCACUCAAUUCAUACCUAUAAGAUAAUAAAUCAGACCACUUCUAUCAAACUACUCAACUCAUUCUUUUCUUCCAUCGUUAUAAAGUUUUGAUGUCUCUAUCUUUCCAGCCCUUUAGGCUUGUUCAUCUUUCUUAUUUCAGUUUAAUGUAGGAAGACAACCUUAUAUCGAAGUACUCAGCUCUUGCCGUCAAACUUUUCCUGCCAAAAUAAUCUACAUCAUGCAAGGAAGAGUGGCGGCGCCAUGGUGGACUUGCAUGAUUUACAGUGUUGCAGUAUAUAUUUAUCAAGAUGUUUUUCUCUCCAUGGGUAGUUUUCCGAUCGCUAAAUCUUGUAAUUAAAUCUUGAAAAUGCUUGGAACUUUUCAGGGCUUAACUUGAUGGUCCAGUUCGACCGUCCAUGUAUUAUUGGACGGCUCCUGAUGCAAGAGAGUCUAUGUUAUAUAUGGUACGAUGCCUUGGCAAUAUACUCCGCUUGAUAUAGGAGCGUGUUUUAUACUCGAG
rnacentral:lncRNA from 1 species